GGACAGCCUAGCGGUUGGGGCUCUUGACUCACCAGUCAAAAGGUUGUGGGUUCAAAUCCCAACACUCACAGUCCA